AUGGCAGCGGCAGGGAGACUGCGGGGACGGCGGCGGGCGCUCAAGGAGGUGGAGCGCGAGCCCGAGCCGUUCACCAUCGAGGAGGAGGUGUCCCACCUCACCCGGGUUCGGUCGGAGCCGUGCCCCGGCACCCGCGCCGCCAUCCAUGGCGCCAGGCGGAAGAGGGACUUCUCGGCUUUCGAGAUGCUGUCGUCGAGGGAGUCCGGCCUCUCGGGAGGCGGCGGGUUCUGUUCGGCCGACCGCGCCUACGCCGCCGGGAAGCACCUCCCGUCGGAAGGACCGUGGUGCGUGGAAGACAUGGAUAGCGAGGCCUAUGUCUCGCAGUUCUCCAGCGAUGGCUCGCUGCUCGUUGCCGGGUUUCGGGGAAGCCGCAUCAGAGUUUACGAUGCCGAUAGAGGGUGGAAGGUUCAUAAGAACAUAAGCUGCAGAAGUAUGAGGUGGACGGUUUCAGAUAUUGCUCUCUCCCCUGACCAGCGAUACCUUGCCUAUUCCAGUUUGUCGCCUAUUGUUCACAUUGUGAAUGUGCAGAAUGCUGGAAGAGAAUCGGAUGCUAAUGUUACUGAAAUUCACGAGGGUUUGGAAUUCUGUGAUGACGAUGAAUACUCUUUCGGGAUAUUCUCUGUGAAAUUUUCAAAAGAUGGUAGAGAAGUAGUUGUUGGGAACAAUGAUUGUUCAAUACAUGUCUAUGAUCUUGGAGCAAAUAAAGUGUCUGACCGUAUCCGUGCUCAUACGUCUGAUGUCAACACGGUCACCUUUGCGGAUGAAAGUGGCAAUUUGUUGUACUCUGGAAGUGAUGAUAAUCUCUGUAAGGUCUGGGAUAGGCGUUGCCUUGUAAGAGAGAAACCAGCAGGUGUUUUGACAGGUCACUUAGAUGGGAUUACAUGUAUUGAUAGCCGUGGUGAUGGGCGUUAUCUAAUCUCCAACUGCAAGGAUCAGACUAUCAAACUUUGGGACGUCAGAAAGAUGUCCGCCACUGUAAAAGGACGACAACCAAGAUUAUAUGACUGGGACUACAGAUGGAUGACGUUCCCAUCACAUGCUAGAUAUUAUAAGCAUCCAAAUGAUCUGUCUCUGGCAACAUACAGGGGUCAUUCAGUUCUGCGGACACUUAUCCGCUGCUACUUCUCUCCAAUGCACAGCACGGGCCAGAGGUACAUAUACACUGGAUCAAGUGACGAUUCAGUGCAUAUUUACGAUGUGGUAACCGGGGCGACCGUGAAGAAGCUCUCGUGGCACGGUUCGAUCAUCAGAGACUGCACCUGGCAUCCUUAUUGUCCAACGCUCGUAAGCUCUUCCUGGGACGGCUAUCUGGCCCGGUGGGAGGCAUCAGGUGACAACGAGGACCCCUCGGUGCUCACGUGCGACGAGCAGAGGACUAGCCCUUACGACCAGACAUACGGGCUCUCUUUUGCCCUGUAG
rnacentral:rRNA from 1 species